GCGGUGAGGAGGCGGAGUCUAGUUGUCAAUCAAACUAGUUGUGCUGCCCAUAAAGUUCGCGCUCCUUACCUUUAGCCUUUGUCCUCUAGAGGGCAGUGGAGAGGUAAAAGCAGUAUUGUGGACAGUCCAAUAGGCACUGUUCCUGCUUGUGUUCCAGUCCACAUUGUGAGAAUAUAGUUCUUCAAUAUUCCUGUCUCCAAAAGGAGAAUUUUGUCUUCGCAAGAGAGGUUGAACAAGGGCCUGUCUGAUUUACGCAGAUCUGUCAGCCCUCGGUCAGAGUCAGUGCUGCCUGUAUGUCACUUCAGGAAGACUUACCUUCAUGCUCCUUUCCAAGCACCAUGUUACAGAAACCACUGCAAAUGAGUGAAGUGAAGAUUUUGAUGUCAUUUUCAGACCUGUGACUAUUCUCCUAGUGAUGGCUGUGUGUGAAAAUACCAGUAGAUCAGCGGUUUCUGAAAUACUCAGGCCAGCCUGCCUAGCACCAAGAACCAUGCCACAUUCAAACUUUGUAGAUUGCUGAAAUCUGAGAAGGAAAGCACAAAGAUAAGAUCUUGGAGGGAACCAGUUCCCCAUGCACGUUUAUAAGUAGCUCGUUUUGUAACAAGAACGCCAAAGGAA